GUCUGUGUGGCUUAGUCGGUAAAGCACCCGACUAUUGUGCGGGGUAGAACUUGGGUUCGAGCCCCGCUGAAGGCU